rnacentral:rRNA from 1 species
UACGGAGGGUGCGAGCGUUAAUCGGAAUCACUGGGCGUAAAGCGCACGUAGGCGGCCUUGUAAGUCAGAUGUGAAAGCCGACGGCUUAACCGUCGAAUUGCAUUUGAUACUGCUUGGCUUGAGUCUCGGAGAGGAUGGCGGAAUUCCAGGUGUAGGAGUGAAAUCCGUAGAUAUCUGGAGGAACACCGGUGGCGAAGGCGGCCAUCUGGACGAGUACUGACGCUGAGGUGCGAAAGCGUGGGGAUCAAAC